CGGAAGAUACGUCAUCUGGUUGCGCGCGGUGCUUCUUCACUUUCGCUUGCUGCCGGGAGAGGAGUGGGUGUGCUUUCCAAGCCGGGCGCCUUCAUCAAUUUCUCAUAGGAGUGCACAAGAGACUGGGAAGGAUCACAACCAGUACAACUUACACAACAUGAUGCGGAUGGAGCAAGGAGCAGUGCUGGGGUCACCCCCUGCAGGAGGGGAUACCAUCCAGAGGGACCUUGAUAAACUUGAAAGUAAUGCAUCUGCUCUCAGUUGGAAAUUUCCUUUUAAGAACAGUCAAGAAGGAUGUGAAAAUUCAAGAGCUGAAAGAUGUUUUUUAAACAAAAGCAGAGUACUUGACAAAUGCUUAGAAAUCAGUGCAACUAAAUGAAGCCUGGGAAAAUAUGUGUAUUAGACAGAAAGAGAUCUAAUUCUGUAGUGGUCUUAAUCAUGCAGUCAUGCAACUGUACAGUAAGAAUGUAAAUGAUAAUUUCUAAAAACAUACUAUUUCUAAAAAAAAAUAUGUAUGUGCACUCAAGAAUAAAGUCACUGGAAU
ensembl:lncRNA